rnacentral:lncRNA from 1 species
AAGUGACAGAAACGUGGAAAACACGCCUCAACCGCUUAGUUUCAUUCAAGAAACUUGUUACAGGAAAUGACCAUUCAUCGCAAACUACAGCUGAUGGAUCAGCGAUGCAAGAGUCGGAAACCUCCACUCUGGCCGAUGUACCUCUUGACUUGAAUGUAAGGGAUUUAAGCGAUGCAUCUCUGGAAACAUUCACAGCUAGUCCCUCAUACAACAGCACGAGCAAUUUGCAUCUUUUGGUGCAAGCGUGUAGUGUAGCAGAAGAAAGUAAUUGUGCCCCAAAGAAAGACGCGAUAUGCUAAACAGAGGAAUGUGUGGCUCCAGGAAAACUAUAUUUCUGUCAGUGACAAAUGGCACCGAGGCAUCUACUCAAGUUGUGCACACAGAAAUGAGUCACAGGG